CUUUUUCUGAGAUUAUCUUCAUGGGCAUCUAUAUAUUUAGCAAUUAUUCUAGCCCAAAUGGGACCAGCUUUUAGUGCUACAAUCUGUUUUAAAUCCAUCCAAGUACAUUGGUAAGUAGCUUAAAUUGUGGAUAGAGACUGGACUAGAGCUAAAGGGGCCUUUUCAACAUCUGCCAGCUGCUGUAUUAUUGCCAGUUGUUCACUGGGUGUCCAGGGCUUAUAUUCUUCCCAGUAUUGGAUACCUGAGCUCGGCUGUCUGUGCUCAUGGUAUA